UAUUUUAGUCUAGUUAGAGGAACCUGUUUUAUAAACGAUAAUCCACGUAGAAUCUUUCUUGUUCUUGUUAAAAGUUAGUAUACCUUCAUUAUUAGACAAUUUGUUGAUAAAAAUUGUUGAAAUUAAAUAAAUUUAAGUAUAUUAGAUCACGGUGCUGCUUAUGAAUAAGUAAAAAUGGGUUACAAUGGGAAUUUACCCACGACGAAUGAAAAAGAAAAUUUCUUUUUUUGAAGGCGGAUUUAAUUGUAAUUUUAAGUUUAAUAAGCUUAAAUGAUAUUAGCUCUAAAAUGUGUACAUAU
rnacentral:rRNA from 1 species